rnacentral:rRNA from 1 species
UACAGAGGUCCCGAGCGUUGUUCGGAUUCAUUGGGCGUAAAGGGUGCGUAGGCGGCGGGGCAAGUCUGAUGUGAAAUCCCGGGGCUCAACCCCGGAACUGCAUUGGAUAUUGCCUUGCUUGAGUACUGGAGAGGGAACUGGAAUUUACGGUGUAGCAGUGAAAUGCGUAGAGAUCGUAAGGAAGGCCAGUGGCGAAGGCGAGUUCCUGGACAGUUACUGACGCUGAGGCACGAAGGCCAGGGGAGCAAACGGG